rnacentral:lncRNA from 1 species
GCUGGGUGCCGUGUUUCCCUCCCGGUCCCUCACCGUGUCCGUGAGAGAGUAGGCCGGUUCGGCACGGGUGCAGCUCAUUUAGCAGCACCCGUUACUAAGCCGAGGCCUCAGCUGACACGGGAGGAAAGAAGCUUGUUUGUCACUACAGCAAAUCUCAGAUUUAGUGUGGUGGAGGACUCUUCUCCAAGAAAUAGGCAGUGAAAGCCUGCUACAAAGAACGUUUAGUCUAAAGUUGUGCAUCUGUUUCUUUGGAGCACCAGCAAUGCUGGUGACAGAGAGCUGCUCCAGCUCCCUAUAACCUCUUCCACCAGUAGGUGUGGGACCUUACAGCGCAUUUUCUUGGUGAUACUGCCAUUUGCUGUUAGAAGUGAAAGGAUCCCAAAUGGUUUAUCAGUUUUGCAUGUGUUGCAGUAUUUGAAGCUUGGCAAUGUGAAAGUCCAAACUCGUGGAGCAGACGUCUGGAGUCUGACAGACUGCUUACUCCUUGUCACAGGCUGUCUGUUUCACAAGUAUCCUGGCAGAGCAGUCUAUCAACCAGAGCCUGGCAUUCCUUCUGCAAGCAACAGGAUGAAGAGUGCAGAGAAAUGUGAUUUCAUGAUUGCCAGUGCUGCAGGCAGCUCAGCAGAGCCAACCUGA